CGGUUCGAUCGGUCGGAUCGGAAACCGGACCUGUGUCCGGUCCGGUUACCUAAAAAACCGAAAUUGCAUAAAAAAACCGGUGAACCCAGAAAACCGGCCGGUUUUUAAACAAACCCAUCAAACCCAUUCGAACCGGCCGGUUGAUGGGUUCACGAUUUUUAAGUGAAAUCCGGAUCUCCCGACCCGAGCCCGAAACCAAAUUCGGUGUUCAGUCGCCCAAACUCAAUAGAGCAGGAUUGAAUCGAAGAAAAAAUCGAAAGCUGAAGUCUGAAGGUGAAAACCCUAGUCGGCGAUCCUCUUCGAUCUUCCUUCUUCUCGUCAGUGUCGUCACUCUCCGGUCCUAUUAAGUUCAGGCAUCGGCUGAUUCGACUCAUCAGCAACUUCAAUUCGAGGCCGAGCUUCCCUUUCUCAGUCGAGCAACGCAAGAUUGGAACAGGCUGCUGGACAAUGAGUUCUGCUAGUGCCAGCAACAACAAUACACCUACUCCUGAUUCAGGAAGGAGGAACUAAGGAGGAA